UGGGGAGGAGUUAAAGUGCAACCUAUUGAGCUUGACUCAUCACUGAGUUACCCCAUCUCAAUGAGAGUGUUUAGCCAACUUAUUUUUACUGGGGUUUUUUUUUAAGUGUUGGUAUUACUACAGCUGUCUUUUACAAGGUGCCUAUAGUAGGAAAACUCCUUGAAUAUCUCUUCAUAUCCUUCGGUGCAUGAGCACCCUACAAACACUGUGUAGCUGCCUGUAAUCUUCAUCUUGCCCUCUGAAGUAGAUAACUACAAUUAUUCACUUGUUCUGGAGCCACUGAUGACAAAAUACUUGGAACUGCAGUGAAACAGCUUUAGCUCCUCACGAGGACAGAAGCUACCACAUCGCUGCUGCCUUUCUCUACCUCAGUAAAUUUUGUGGCUUCUGCUCAGGAUACUUAUAUUUUACUAUUGAAUGCUAGCUUGUGUACUAGUUCUGAUGGAAAUAAAAAAUAUGGUUGUUUGCA